UAACAUGUCAAUGCAGCUAUAGGG
rnacentral:siRNA from 1 species